UCGGUCGUCCAUGCAGCNGCGGUCCCGACGUGUCAUUGAUGAACUGCCNUCGGCGGCGGCCCAGNUCCAAGUCCUCUGGAAAGGGGCAUCAUGGAGGGUGAAAGUCCCGUCCGUGGCCUGCGAGAGCCUGCUGUCAUCCUGUGAGGGUGGUUCGGCGAGUCGGAUUGUUUGGGAAUGCAGUCCAAAGCGGGUGGUAAACUCCAUCUAAGGCUAAAUACAGGCGAGAGACCGAUAGCGAACAAGUACCGUGAGGGAAAGUUGAAAAGCACUCUGAAGAGAGGGUGAAAAGUACGUGAAAUUGCCAACAGGGAAACGAUGGGCGCCAGUGCUUGCGCUGGGCAGGAUCAGGCGUGGUGCGUUGUGCCGGGCUGGUGGUACCCGAGUCCGCAAGGGCCGGGCCGCUGGUUUUGGCGUGGCGUGCAGCGCUGCAUUCUUGCCUGGUGCGGGCCAACAUCGGCUGCCGGCGGGUGAUGCGCGCUUGGGCAAGGUACCUGCAGCCUCUGGCGGCAGGACUUAUUAGGCCCGGGUGAGCUGGCCUGCUGGCGGCCGAGGAAACAGUCGCGGUCUGUGCAGCCUCUCGGGGCGGCGGGGCGGGCGGGCGAGUUGUUGGGACCGGUCUGGCUGCUGCCUGGCAGUGGUUGGGCUUGGGACCUGGCGGCUGUGUCUGCCGCGGCCUCUGCAGACCAAGGAUGUUGGCGAAAUGGUGCUCAACGACCCGUCUUGAAACACGGACCAAGGAGUCUGACCCAUGUGCGAGUUUUUGGGUGGCAAACCCGGAGGCGCAAUGAAAGUGACCUGGGCAGGAAGCGUUGGCCGCAAGGCUGGCGCGGCACUGCCGACCGACCCGUGCGGGCUGCCUCGCGGCGGUCUGGGUUUGAGUAGGAGCACCUGGGACAGGACCCGAAAGAUGGUGAACUAUGCCGAGUAGA
rnacentral:rRNA from 1 species